UGGUAAAUGAGACCUUUCAGCUGUACUCAUGCUCGACGCACGUGAUCGAAGACGCCACUGUCUGAAUGCGCGUCGUGAUGACGUCACAUGACGCGUCUCGGCCCGAAUCGGCGGUAAUUAAAAAUAAAUAAAUUGCAAACUCCUCCACUUAUUGCGAGUUUGUCUGAUUUAGUGUUCAUUUCUGUGAACACAACACUGCAGCACCCCGGAGAGACUGGAGCAGAACUGCACGCAGAAAAAAAGCCCAGAGCCGGAAAAUAUUUUUACAUGUUCCGGAAACUUUCAAACACAACUCUCCUGAUUUGAUUUCAUCCGUGUAGAACUGCCUAUCAGCACACGAAAAAGGAUCUGGGGGCGCUGUUAGAGAGAGAACUGAAGUCCUGAGGGUGACGAGGACCUGACGGGUAAUAACAGGCUGCGUGUAACAGGGUACAGAGCAGAGACGGAGACGGAGAUCAUCUCCUUGGCGACAGAUGGAGCAGUUGCAGAAAUUCCGAGGUUUUAAUUUGGCAGCAGUCCCCCCAAUCCAACACACACACACACACACACACACACACACACACACACACAAUCCACCCACUCUCUCAGUGUUGCAGAUAAAGAUGUCAAGACGAGCACAUCCUCGCUCUGUCGUUUAGAAACGCUUGCAUCGUCCUCUCUGUGUCUCUCUUUCUCAUAUUCACAGAAUAAACAGAGCAAGCGUUGAGAAUGAGCCGGUAUUAAACUGUCACCAGGACGAUUAUUGAUCGUGUUUAGUACUGAAAUAAUACUGCAUGAGUAAAUAAAAUGUCACACUGACAGUCCCGUCUCUCUGCCGUGUUUUUCACACGUUCCUGGAACUCGUUCGCUGAGAAUACUGAACAGAACUAUGACGAUAACGAUGAUGAUGAUGACGGGAUCCUCUCAUCGUAGGCGUUUGAACGCGAUCCUGCCUUGAAGUAUGUGCAAAAUAUAAGACACAAGUAGCUUUAUUGAUCAGAGCCACCCAGACCUCAGACCUGCCCAGGCCACAGGCCUUAGUGGAAUGGAAUGGAAUGGAAUGGAAUAGAAAUAGAUAUUCCGAGGACCCGUGCUCUGUGUGUAGAUGUGUUUACUGGACUUUUGGCGCCGGAUUAUGUGAAACGCAUCCCCACGGUGUUCAGGUACACAGACACGAGACGCUUCCGCUUCGCCGAACACAAAUACGAUGCAACAGAUUCAGCGGCGGAUUACAGACUCGUCAAUCUGCGCAGGUUAAUCUCUCCAGAAACACACUGCGCAGAGCCUGGGGCAGAUGAAGAGAUUCGAGCUCAGUGUAAUUACACGAUUAAUCAGGUAUCAUGGGAUAACGAGGACGCUGUUGCGAGGAGACACACUUCUCACGGUGCGCCGAAAUCACGAGGGUUUAACAAAACUUUAACUAGAAAAGAACAGGCUAUUAAAGAGAGACGUACCAAGUACACAUCACACAAAGUCCUGUGUCACUGUGCGGCAUUUCCACGUCGAUUCUGUCCCCGCUGACCCCCCCGCCGUUCCUUAUAUGGUCAAAGCAUCCUGGUUUUUGUUUUUUCUAUAGCGUGGUAAGUUAUGAACCCUUUUGUUCUGCACUGUGUUUAGGUUUUUGAAAUGAACGAGUCAAUUUAUAGAUCAGUGACUUCCAAAAUAUGUCAUAAGAAGCAGGCAGUUAUUUAUAUAAGCACCGCAUUUGUAUAUAUUUAUCCAUAAAUAUAUAUAUAUAUAAUAUAUUUAUCCCAGCUCCUUACUGUAAGUAAACUCCUGUCAGGUUGAAGUGUAACCAGUGUUUUAAAAUCUCUUUUUAUUAAAUCCUUUAUUGUAAUCUUUAUUUCCUAAAACUUAGCAUGUAGUCCAUUUGUGCUGAAAUAUUCUCAGUAUCCAGACACUCGGUUCAUUAUCAUUUACGUUUCCUCUAAAUAAACC